rnacentral:rRNA from 1 species
AACGAACGCUGGCGACAUGCCUAACACAUGCAAGUCGAACGAGACCUUCGGGUCUAGUGGCGCACGGGUGCGUAACGCGUGGGAACCUGCCCUUAGGUUCGGAAUAACUCCCCGAAAGGGGUGCUAAUACCGGAUAAUGUCUUCGGACCAAAGAUUCAUCGCCUUUGGAUGGGCCCGCGUUGGAUUAGCUAGUUGGUAGGGUAAAAGCCUACCAAGGCGACGAUCCAUAGCUGGUCUGAGAGGAUGAUCAGCCACACUGGGACUGAGACACGGCCCAGACUCCUACGGGAGGCAGCAGUGGGGAAUAUUGGACAAUGGGCGAAAGCCUGAUCCAGCAAUGCCGCGCGAGUGAUGAAGGCCUUAGGGUUGUAAAGCUCUUUUACCCGGGAUGAUAAUGACAGUACCGGGAGAAUAAGCUCCGGCUAACUCCGUG